CGCUGUUCUCAGGGCGGGGUGAAAUUCCCCACCGGCGGUAAGCGGGCCAGCCCCGUAAGCCCGCGAGCGGUCAUUUUGAGUGACGUCACAGCUUGAGCCGAAAACCGGUUCCCAUUCUUCGGGCUGUGAACACGCUGGAAAUGAUGUCUAGCAGAUCUGGUGCAACUCCAGAGCCGACGGUCAUAGUCCGGAUGGAAGAGAACGUGU
rnacentral:ncRNA from 2 species